UAGGAUGGGGUGUACAGGUAGCACGGAGAAUUUUGAAUUCUUAGGUAUAGGUUCGACUCCUAUUGUCCUAG
rnacentral:tRNA from 1 species